rnacentral:misc_RNA from 1 species
GAUGAAGAACGCAGCGAAACGCGAUAAGUAAUGUGAAUUGCAGAAUCCAGUGAAUCAUCGAAUCUUUGAACGCACAUUGCGCCCGCCAGCAUUCUGGCGGGCAUGCCUGUUCGAGCGUCAUUUCAACCCUCGACCUCCCCUUGGGGAGGUCGGCGUUGGGGACCGGCAGCACACCGCCGGCCCUGAAAUGGAGUGGCGGCCCGUCCGCGGCGACCUCUGCGCAGUAAUACAGCUCGCACCGGGACCCCGACGCGGCCACGCCGUAAAACACCCAACUUCUGAACGUUGACCUCGAAUCAGGUAGGACUACCCGCUGAACUUAAGCAUAUCAAUAAGCGGAGA